rnacentral:rRNA from 1 species
UACGAAGGGGGCUAGCGUUGCUCGGAAUCACUGGGCGUAAAGGGCGCGUAGGCGGCGUUUUAAGUCGGGGGUGAAAGCCUGUGGCUCAACCACAGAAUGGCCUCGAUACUGGGACGCUUGAGUAUGGUAGAGGUUGGUGGAACUGCGAGUGUAGAGGUGAAAUUCGUAGAUAUUCGCAAGAACACCGGUGGCGAAGGCGGCCAACUGGACCCAUUACUGACGCUGAGGCGCGAAAGCUG